rnacentral:rRNA from 1 species
AGAGUUUGAUCCUGGCUCAGAACGAACGCUGGCGGCAGGCUUAACACAUGCAAGUCGAACGCCCCGCAAGGGGAGUGGCAGACGGGUGAGUAACGCGUGGGAAUCUACCCAGUCCUUCGGAACAACACAGGGAAACUUGUGCUAAUACUGGAUACGCCCUACGGGGGAAAGAUUUAUCGGGAUUGGAUGAGCCCGCGUUGGAUUAGCUAGUUGGUGAGGUAAAAGCUCACCAAGGCGACGAUCCAUAGCUGGUCUGAGAGGAUGAUCAGCCACACUGGGACUGAGACACGGCCCAGACUCCUACGGGAGGCAGCAGUGGGGAAUAUUGGACAAUGGGCGCAAGCCUGAUCCAGCCAUGCCGCGUGAGUGAUGAAGGCCUUAGGGUUGUAAAGCUCUUUCAGUGGGGACGAUAAUGACGGUACCCAC